AUGUUUGGCCUCAUCAACUUGCGACAUAUGGCCGGAAUGCCGUUUCUGAAAAUACCAAGAGUUGGCAGGAUGACAUUGCUUCGAACGCUGCAAAAAAUCAAAGUGGGAAAGGAACAAGGGUGCGAGUUGAAGCAACUCGGCGGCCUCAACCAGCUCCGUGGCAAACUGAGUAUCGCGGGCCUCGAAAACGUCGAGACCCAGCAGGAAGCUCUUGAAGCCAAGCUGGGCGACAAAGAAGGGCUCACAACAUUGCAACUGUCGUGGGGUCAUGAUCAUGAUGUGAGAGGAGAGUUGAAGAAACAGGAGGCUCACACAGAGGUGCUGGAGGGUCUCUGCCCGCCCAAGCAUCUCGAAUCACUGACCAUCUACUCUUACCAUGGCUUGAGAUACCCAAGUUGGAUGAUGGGUGAGCACGGCGGCGGCCCAAAGUAUGUGAAGGAACUCAGCCUCUUCCAUUGCAGCACAGAGCUUGGUGGGUUCUGGCCUCACCUCCGUUCGUUCUACAUGUACCGUUGCAGCUCGUCCACCAUGCCGGAUCACAUGGAGCACCUGACGUCGCUCAGGCGCCUGGACCUCGACUGGUGCCCGAACAUCCGGUCGCUUCCGACGCUGCCGCGGUCUCUUGACUACUUGAGUCUCACCUUCUGCCAUGAGAUGCUGAUGAGUGCGUGCAGAAGAGCUGGAGACCCCAACUGGGAAAAGUUUCAGCACGUUCCUUAUGUAUGUGUCAGCGACUUGGAGACGACAUAG
rnacentral:rRNA from 1 species